rnacentral:tRNA from 1 species
GGGCUCGUAGAUCAGAGGGAGAUCGUUACGUUCGCAACGUAAGGCCGCGGGUUCAGAUCCCGUCGUGUCCA